GUCGAGGAGCGGUGGUAGCUCAGUUGGGUAAGCGCCCGCUUCUCACGCCAGAGAUGCGGGUUCGAACCCAGGCGCCGACA
rnacentral:tRNA from 1 species